GUGUUUCGUGUGCGUAUUGUAUACAAUGUCGAGAGUGCUAACGUAAUAGCGGACGAUUGUUCCGAUACACAGCGAUCGGACCGAACACAGUUCAUCACAGUGUCGUACGUAGAAGUGAACGUUCUCGUUCGUGAAGCCGGAUAUCGUGGCGUGCUUGCGGUGUAGUUUCGUCAAGUUUUCACGCGCGCAUAUUCACUCGAAUAGAAUGCUUGUAGACUAUCGUGAAGAUCAAGUGAAAAGUUAAUCGUCGCGCGAUUGUAUUAUACGAGAUUUUUAGGGAAUGAGUUUAUUUCAUCUCUACGUGUGUAUACAUUUUCUUGUCUCGUUGUCUCGGCCGACGAGUCGCUUGCCAUAUCUGUUGCUGCUUGCUUCUGUGAUUGCCAGCGUUGUCGGAUGUGCUGUAUUUUUCGUGUUUUUCAAGUGUACGUGUAUGCUAUUGAAAGUAGCGAAAGUAACAGUGGACGAUCGUGAUAAGUUAUGGCAUGGUGUGUAAAUUACAUUCGUAAAUUUGUUAGCAUCUAUUGCGUUGCGACAACCUAACCUCUCGUGCGAGUUUCGUAUCUUAUUUGCUGUCGUGUGUGAUAUAUUAUUAAUGUGCAAUUCGAGGAGAAGUGCGAAACGAGAUUUCAAUAAAAUUUUAGCGAGUAGGCGAUAUUCGUGGAGCUAUUCGGAAGAAUCAAAUAGAAAGGGAAUGCAGCAAUAAUAGCAACAGCAACAAUAACAACUGGGGACUAUCCUUCAAUGAUCAGACCUGUUUUUUUACAUGGGGAAGUCCAUCAUGGAUACUAACCUUUCUCGAGGAAGAGGGAAGGGUUAUGCCAGACUCCUAUAACUCCUAUGACAAGAUCAAGGGCAUUGAAAGUUGGUAUCUUAAUCGAAACAUUUACCCAUU
rnacentral:lncRNA from 13 species